GCACAAGCGGCCAAGCAAGCAUUGGAUGAUCUAGUUCCCGAGCCUUUAAAUGAGUCCCAAUUGUCGGAAUCCGCACCUCUUUUAAAAAUGAUUGACAUGUAUUAUGUUCAAUGCUUUUAUAGUAAAGAGUGGAAAUUACGCGACAAAGCUUUUCAAUACAUGAUUCAAAAAAUUAAGAAUGAACAAAUUAAUGGAGAUUCACUUGAUGUUUUUAGGUAAAAAUCAACUAAAAUUAUUAUAUUUGGUUGAAUUUAUAAUUUAUUUUUGGUAUUUUUAUUAUAAAUAUCAUUACUUAAUUUAUUUUUUAAAAUAUUAUUUAUAAUAAUAUAAAAUAAUUAAUCUUACAAUUUUAAUGACCAAUCUAUUGAUAAAUGUUGAAUAGUUUUAAUAAAUCACUUAGCAAAAAAUGUACAAGUGUUCUUUGAAAUAAAUAUUAAGUAAAAAAUUUAAUAUACGUAUAUUGGAUAGGGUUUUGAGCAAAGUCAUAUUGAAAGGCUUAAAUGACAAAGUAUCAAAUAUUUUCAACAUUGCAUUACAGGUUUGUGUGACUACAUUUUAUUCAUUAAUAGAAUAGAACAAAAUUUCCUACAACAUAUAUUGAACACUAUUGACUCAAAACAUAACAAAAAAGAAUGUAUACCUUUAUUGCAUUUUUAAUAUUAUAAUCCAAUUGAUUGAAAAAUUAACCUUUACUUUUUUGGAGAGGUUGUAGAUG
rnacentral:lncRNA from 1 species